UUGAGACCCAAGGGAGAGACAUCGUAGUUCUUGAUGCAUCACAAAAUCUUCUUAAACCAAAACUUUUAGACAGACGCCUGUAUUUGCUAAGGGUACUUGAUCUCGAGGGUGUUUACAAGCCUGUACUCCCUGAGAACUUUGGAAAUAUACUGUCGAACCUAAGGUAUUUGGGAUUGAGAUGGACGAUUCUGGAUUCCAUUCCAGAAUCAGUCGGGAAUCUGUUGCUCCUGGAAACAUUAGAUCUGAAGCACACCAACAUAACCAAAGUGACGAGCGCCAUUUGGAAUGCAAAGAAUCUCCGACAUCUGUACCUGAGCGAAGCAUCGUUCGGAAAGUCCAUCCCACACCAUAUUAUAUCAGGGAAGCCUCCAUAUUGUAAACUCGAGACGCUAUGGGGUCUGUUCAUAGAAACUGGUAAGAGCCCCAUGAUAAGAGUGUUGAAGAAGCUGUGAAGCCUGAAGAAGCUGGGCGUGACAUGCCGUCCCGGGGCAGUGAAGGCAGUGACCGAAUGCUUUUCGAGCCUGACCAGGCUCGAGUCCCUGAGGUUGAGAUCGAGGGACCUGUUAGGCCAGCCUGCAGUGCUCAAUUUGAGUGAAAUGAAAUGGCCCCCAUCUCUUUCAAACGUGUAUUUGCUCGGAUCAUUGGAGUCUGUUCCGAGCUUCUCGUUGGACUGUAAGAAUCUGAAAGCGCUCACCUUGUCAAUGUCAAGACUGAAAGGUGAUCCAAUGGAGGCCCUAUACGACCUGAAAGAUUUGAUUGUUCUCAGGUUAUUGGCUCGAUCGUUCACCGGCAAAAGCUUGAAUUGCAAAGCAGGUUUUCCAAAACUUCGCAUCCUAAAACUAUGGAUGCUCGAGGAAUUAGAAGUAUUGUUUGUUAAGCAAGGGGCGAUGCGUAGUCUCGAAGAGUUGGAAAUCAGGCAAUGCGAGAAGCUAGGGACGGUUGAUAGCUUGAAUCAUAGUGACAGCUUGAAAAGUGUGAGUCUUACAGGAGUUGAUGAAGACCUUGCCAAGAUAUGGAAGAAAAACUAAAAGGUCGCCAACAGACGCUGGUCAAAACAGAGUAACUGUCCAAGAAAGAGAGCCGGUAAGAAACAGAUGAGCAUCCACGUCGGUCCGGAAUCAUCAGCUUCCAAUAAUAAAAAUUAUCAUGCUCAUAAAUAAGAGGAUGUAUAUGCUUCUGUGUGCUUCAUAUAUUUCCUUCCGUAUCUCUUUCUGUGUAAUUUUCUACCUUGUAAUUCAUGGCAAAUGCUACUCUAGCCGAGAGUCUCAAAGAACUUAUCUUCUUUUGGGAUAUGUGAGUUUAAAAAUGUUAAGAGCUAGCUUGUGUUUCA